AUUGAACGCUGGCGGCAUGCUUUACACAUGCAAGUCGAACGGUAACAGGCCUUCGGGCGCUGACGAGUGGCGAACGGGUGAGUAAUGCAUCGGAACGUGCCCAGUCGUGGGGGAUAACGCAGCGAAAGCUGUGCUAAUACCGCAUACGAUCUAUGGAUGAAAGCGGGGGACCGUAAGGCCUCGCGCGAUUGGAGCGGCCGAUGUCAGAUUAGGUAGUUGGUGGGGUAAAGGCUCACCAAGCCAACGAUCUGUAGCUGGUCUGAGAGGACGACCAGCCACACUGGAACUGAGACACGGUCCAGAAUCCUACGGGAGGAAGCAGUGGGGAAUUUUGGACAAUGGGCGCAAGCCUGAUCCAGCAAUGCCGCGUGCAGGAAGAAGGCCUUCGGGUUGUAAACUGCUUUUGUACGGAACGAAACGGCGAGCUCUAAUACAGUUUGCUAAUGACGGUACCGUAAGAAUAAGCACCGGCUAACUACGUGCCAGCAGCCGCCGCCG
rnacentral:rRNA from 1 species